rnacentral:lncRNA from 1 species
UCUCCCCCAGUUUAAUUGUUUUCCACGGCUCGGCAACCAGUUGGGCUGCUUCCUUCUGACGCACUUUCUUCUCAUCAGGAAAGUGGGAGCCUCUGUCCUCACCCGUGGGCAGGCUUCGCUGAGCCCAGCGGCCCCUGGGGCAGAGGAACACUGGGGACCCUCCACUCCUGCCAGGAUAGGCCACCUGGUCCCUUCUGGGCUGCGAUCCACUGCCAUGGUCCUGGGAAUCCAACACCCCCAGCACACACACACUGGGCCCCACAGGAGCCCACUCUCCUUUGAACUCCCUGGUAAUUUGUCAGAGGGCCGGUGACAACAGGCUACACGGAGCAAAGAGGAAAGAGGGCAAGAAGCAGCAGAAGAGGAAAACCAAAGGGUACUGGAUAUGGUGGCUGACCCUGGGGUGCUACACUGAGAGAUCUCUGCUAAGUCCUUAGAGUUCAUGCAGCAAGCUUCCAGAAGUCUGGGGGAGAUUCUGAGCCUGGGAAAUAAGCUGACACAGAGUAGAGGCAUUUGAGCAUGGAGGAAUGGCUGUGCGGAUAUUCAGAAGAAAUAAAAGUUAGAUGG